rnacentral:rRNA from 1 species
UCAGGACGAANGCUGGCGGCGUGCUUAACACAUGCAAGUCGAGCGGUAAGGCUCCUUCGGGAGUACACGAGCGGCGAACGGGUGAGUAACACGUGAGCAAUCUGCCCUUCACACUGGGAUAACCCCCGGAAACGGGAGCUAAUACCAGAUACGACCACUUCGGGCAUCCGAUGGUGGUGGAAAGUUCCGGCGGUGAAGGAUGAGCUCGCGGCCUAUCAGCUUGUUGGUGGGGUAACGGCCUACCAAGGCUUCGACGGGUAGCCGGCCUGAGAGGGUGACCGGCCACACUGGGACUGAGACACGGCCCAGACUCCUACGGGAGGCAGCAGUGGGGAAUAUUGGACAAUGGGCGAAAGCCUGAUCCAGCAACGCCGCGUGAGGGAUGACGGCCUUCGGGUUGUAAACCUCUUUCAGCACAGACGAAGCGAAAGUGACGGUAUGUGCAGAAGAAGCACCGGCCAACUACGUGCCAGCAGCCGCGGUAAUACGUAGGGUGCGAGCGUUGUCCGGAAUUAUUGGGCGUAAAGGGCUCGUAGGCGGUUUGUCGCGUCGGGAGUGAAAACUCAGGGCUUAACCCUGAGCCUGCUUCCGAUACGGGCAGACUAGAGGUAUGCAGGGGAGAACGGAAUUCCUGGUGUAGCGGUGAAAUGCGCAGAUAUCAGGAGGAACACCGGUGGCGAAGGCGGUUCUCUGGGCAU